rnacentral:rRNA from 1 species
UUUAAAGAGAGUUUGAUCCUGGCUCAGGACGAACGCUGGCGGCGUGCCUAAUACAUGCAAGUCGAACGAACGGAGGAAGAGCUUGCUCUUCCAAAGUUAGUGGCGGACGGGUGAGUAACACGUGGGCAACCUGCCUGUAAGUUGGGGAUAACUCCGGGAAACCGGGGCUAAUACCGAAUGAUAGAAUGUGGCGCAUGCCACGCUUUUGAAAGAUGGUUUCGGCUAUCGCUUACAGAUGGGCCCGCGGUGCAUUAGCUAGUUGGUAGGGUAAU